UCCCCGGUAGCUCAGCGGUAGAGCAACCGGCUGUUAACCGGUUGGUCGCUGGUUCGAAUCCGGCCCGGGGAGCC
rnacentral:tRNA from 1 species